GAGAAAUUAGUUCAAUUGGUAGAGCAGUCGCUUUACACGCGAACAGUUAAGUGUUCAAGUCACUUAUUUCUCA